UGUCCCCGCCUCCCGGCCGCUGGCGGCGGGUGCCUCCGGCUGAGCCUGUCCCCGCCUGAGGCUCCGAAGUUCAGCCACAUAGGGCUUCCUCGUGGUCCUGGCCGUGUCUGUCACGGCACGCGUCACUCCUGUCUGUCCCCAGCGCGAGCACGGCACCUGGCACACUCAGCUCCCGUACCCGUCCGUUGAAUUGCAGCCGGGCCCUGGACGGACACCUCUCAAAGCCAUUGCUCCGCCUCAGACCGCUCUCUGAACUUAGAUUUCUUCUGAGCACUUAAUAUGAAUCAGCCAAUGGCUGGAGAUACAGAAAUGGGAGAAAAUAAACAGCCCUUGCCCUCAAGGAGAAGGAUACCUGCAAACAGAUGGCCCUGAUCAAAGAGGAAAUAUGCAAGUAGCACAAAGUGGUAGAAAAUCAUAUGCAAUGCUGACAUUUUCGGGGCCUUAGUUAAAAUGUGGCUGUCAUGUGGGACGGAGUGGGAACUACUGAGAAAUUAAGGAAAACAGCUCUUGGGAUUCAGAGAGCAAUGGCUUUCUUCCCUGUGCCCUUCUCAUCUUCACCCAAAAUCAAAGCAGUUUAAAGCAUGCAUUGAACAAUGAGAAAGCCACCACGCGCAGAUCAUUCCUUACCUACCCUGGAGUUUAGUACUUCCGCCAAACAGCAGCACCGGGUGGCAAAGCCCAAGUCCCAUGAAGCCCUGGGGGCUCAUUUUCUGAGCUGAUCCCGAAGCAUAGAUAAGGAGUUCCAUCAGGCAGUGGGGGCGGAAGGAGAGCUCACCAAGCAGACAAGUGAGAGAGAUAUUCUGGGCAAAGGGAACAGUUUGUGCAAAGGCGUGCAAGCAUGAGAAACCAUAAUAGUUUAGGGAAGCCACGAGCUCUGGUGCGAACGGAGGCAAGUGUGGCAGCCAAUUACCAGGAAAUGAGGCUGCAGAGAUAUAUUGGUCCCAUGUUACAGAGGACUUCGUCUGCUACCAUAAGGGAUAGAGAAUGAGUGUGCUGUGCUCUCCCAGUGCGGGGUACUGUUACGUAAAAUAAAGAAAUACAGUUGGAAAUGCA